UGGUCUCUAAAGCCUCCCAUGGAUAAGCCCACAGUUGACUGUAUAAACAUUUUCCCUAUCCCACAUCCUGCUUCCACAGCAUGUCUUGUACUCACUUCUCCAUCCUUCCACUCAGUCCAAACAUCCUGCAGAAAGCCUCCAGCUCUCCUUGACAGCCUUCCUCGCUCCGUUUCUCCCCAGCCUCUGCCAGGUUGCAAAUGAAGCUCAAUGAACCCAACCCAACCCCAGGUUCUUGGAGACCUGCCCACAAGGGAGAGAUUCAAGUGCCUUUCUUUCUGCUUUAACUACCAACACAUGUCGUGCUGCUUUGCUGUAGACCUAAUGCUUCUGCUGUUGCAUAAAGGUCCAUCUUCAGCCAUCUCUCCCCCUGCACAUUGCCAGUGCUCUCCUCCCUUCCCUCAGCUGUCAUCUCGAGCAGCAUCACAGCUGAAGGAGGGUUUUAUUCAUCCCGAGGACCCAGCUGCUAACAUGCUUUGGGAGGCUCCAAAUUCAUCAUCUCAUCUUCCUCAAAGAGGCUGCAGCUUGGCACGGGCACCACCUCUGGUAUCAGCCCCUCAUGCUAUAGGACGCCAGUUCAUGACCAGGGCAUCUAUGCAAGGAGUCAGCGGCUAUGGUGUUUGCGACAGUGGACUUUGCUUUUGUUGUUGUAACAGAACGGCCUGGUCUAGGCAAGAAAUGGAGAAAGCUGCAGUGUGGUCUUGCUGAGACUGGUUUGCUAUGUAAACCUGGCCUGAAAGCCUGAGUCACAGAGCUCCUGCUCCUUCAAGGAUCAGGCUUUUCUGCCAUCUCAGAAGCUGAAGUGCUGUCAUGACUUGCCUGCAGUCAGCGAUGUGUGUUGCAAUGUGAACUUCAUGUUACCCUCACAGAAAACCUAAAUGCAUGUUACCUGGGGUUAACCUUGUGUCACUGCCUUGGGCUUUAGCAGAUCAAUGCUCCAUCUGUCCUAGCUGUGAACUGUACAUGCUUCGUGCCUGAAAAUCCUUGUGGUUGGAACAACAGUGCCCUUCCUUGAGUGAGCCAUGGAGAUGGUUUGAGUUAUUGACUGGUACUGCUGCUGGGUGAGCCUGUUCAAACACGUCCUGCUGGAAUGAUGCACUGAGAAGGUGAAGCUGAACCUCCAUCAGGCCCAUUGCUGUCAGCCUGCGACUGCUGAGCACUAGCUGCAGUAGGUACU